rnacentral:rRNA from 1 species
GACGAACGCUGGCGGCGUGCCUAAUACAUGCAAGUCGAACGCUUCUUUCCUCCCGAGUGCUUGCCCUCAAUUGGAAAGAGGAGUGGCGGACGGGUGAGUAACACGUGGGUAACCUACCCAUCAGAGGGGGAUAACACUUGGAAACAGGUGCUAAUACCACAUAACAGUUUAUGCCGCAUGGCAUAAGAGUGAAAGGCGCUUUCGGGUGUCGCUGAUGGAUGGACCCGCGGUGCAUUAGCUAGUUGGUGAGGUAACGGCUCACCAAGGCCACGAUGCAUAGCCGACCUGAGAGGGUGAUCGGCCACACUGGGACUGAGACACGGCCCAGACUCCUACGGGAGGCAGCAGUAGGGAAUCUUCGGCAAUGGACGAAAGUCUGACCGAGCAACGCCGCGUGAGUGAAGAAGGUUUUCGGAUCGUAAAACUCUGUUGUUAGAGAAGAACAAGGACGUUAGUAACUGAACGUCCCCUGACGGUAUCUAACCAGAAAGCCACGGCUAACUACGUG